UGCAGGUCGAACGAACCUUCGGGUUAGUGGCGGACGGGUGAGUAACGCGUGAGAAUCUGCCCUCAGGAGGGGGAUAACGGUUGGAAACGACCGCUAAUACCCCAUAUGCCGCGAGGUGAAAUGAAUUUCGCCUGAGGAUGAGCUCGCGUCUGAUUAGCUAGUUGGUGGGGUAAAGGCCUACCAAGGCAUCGAUCAGUAGCUGGUCUGAGAGGAUGAUCAGCCACACUGGGACUGAGACACGGCCCAGACUCCUACGGGAGGCAGCAGUGGGGAAUUUUCCGCAAUGGGCGAAAGCCUGACGGAGCAACGCCGCGUGUGGGAUGAAGGCCUCUGGGCUGUAAACCUCUUUUAUCAAGGAAGAAGAUCUGACGGUACUUGAUGAAUAAGCCACGGCUAAUUCCGUGCCAGCAGCCGCGGUAAUACGGGAGUGGCAAGCGUUAUCCGGAAUUAUUGGGCGUAAAGCGUCCGCAGGCGGCCCUUCAAGUCUGCUGUUAAAAAGUGGAGCUUAACUCCAUCAUGGCAGUGGAAACUGUUGGGCUUGAGUGUGGUAGGGGCAGAGGGAAUUCCCGGUGUAGCGGUGAAAUGCGUAGAUAUCGGGAAGAACACCAGUGGCGAAGGCGCUCUGCUGGGCCAUCACUGACGCUCAUGGACGAAAGCCAGGGGAGCGAAAGGGAUUAGAUACCCCUGUAGUCCUGGCCGUCAACGAUGAACACUAGGUGUCGGGGGAAUCGACCCCCUCGGUGUCGUAGCCAACGCGUUAAGUGUUCCGCCUGGGGAGUACGCACGCAAGUGUGAAACUCAAAGGAAUUGACGGGGGCCCGCACAGCGGUGGAGUAAUUUUGGUUUAAUUCGAUGCAACGCGAAGAACCUUACCAGGGUUUGACAUCCUGCGAAUCUCUUGGAAACGAGAGAGUGCCUUC
rnacentral:rRNA from 1 species